rnacentral:rRNA from 1 species
GACGAACGCUGGCGGCGUGCUUAACACAUGCAAGUCGAACGGAAAGGCCCUGCUUUUGUGGGGUGCUCGAGUGGCGAACGGGUGAGUAACACGUGAGUAACCUGCCCUUGACUUUGGGAUAACUUCAGGAAACUGGGGCUAAUACCGGAUAGGAGCUCCUGCUGCAUGGUGGGGGUUGGAAAGUUUCGGCGGUUGGGGAUGGACUCGCGGCUUAUCAGCUUGUUGGUGGGGUAGUGGCUUACCAAGGCUUUGACGGGUAGCCGGCCUGAGAGGGUGACCGGCCACAUUGGGACUGAGAUACGGCCCAGACUCCUACGGGAGGCAGCAGUGGGGAAUAUUGCACAAUGGGCGGAAGCCUGAUGCAGCAACGCCGCGUGCGGGAUGACGGCCUUCGGGUUGUAAACCGCUUUCGCCUGUGACGAAGCGUGAGUGACGGUAAUGGGUAAAGAAGCACCGGCUAACUACGUGCCAGCAGCCGCGGUGAUACGUAGGGUGCGAGCGUUGUCCGGAUUUAUUGGGCGUAAAGGGCUCGUAGGUGGUUGAUCGCGUCGGAAGUGUAAUCUUGGGGCUUAACCCUGAGCGUGCUUUCGAUACGGGUUGACUUGAGGAAGGUAGGGGAGAAUGGAAUUCCUGGUGGAGCGGUGGAAUGCGCAGAUAUCAGGAGGAACACCAGUGGCGAAGGCGGUUCUCUGGGCCUUUCCUGACGCUGAGGAGCGAAAGCGUGGGGAGCGAACAGGCUUAGAUACCCUGGUAGUCCACGCUGUAAACGGUGGGUACUAGGUGUGGGGUCCAUUCCACGGGUUCCGUGCCGUAGCUAACGCUUUAAGUACCCCGCCUGGGGAGUACGGCCGCAAGGCUAAAACUCAAAGGAAUUGACGGGGCCCCGCACAAGCGGCGGAGCAUGCGGAUUAAUUCGAUGCAACGCGUAGAACCUUACCUGGGUUUGACAUGGAUCGGGAGCGCUCAGAGAUGGGUGUGCCUCUUUUGGGGUCGGUUCACAGGUGGUGCAUGGCUGUCGUCAGCUCGUGUCGUGAGAUGUUGGGUUAAGUCCCGCAACGAGCGCAACCCUUGUUCACUGUUGCUAGCACGUUAUGGUGGGGACUCAGUGGAGACCGCCGGGGUCAACUCGGAGGAAGGUGGGGAUGACGUCAAGUCAUCAUGCCCCUUAUGUCCAGGGCUUCACGCAUGCUACAAUGGCUGGUACAGAGAGUGGCGAGCCUGUGAGGGUGAGCGAAUCUCGGAAAGCCGGUCUCAGUUCGGAUUGGGGUCUGCAACUCGACCUCAUGAAGUCGGAGUCGCUAGUAAUCGCAGAUCAGCAACGCUGCGGUGAAUACGUUCCCGGG